rnacentral:rRNA from 1 species
GGUUAAGCGACUAAGCGUACACGGUGGAUGCCCUGGCAGUCAGAGGCGAUGAAGGACGUGCUAAUCUGCGAUAAGCGCCGGUAAGGUGAUAUGAACCGUUAUAACCGGCGAUUUCCGAAUGGGGAAACCCAGUGUGACUCGUCACACUAUCAUUAACUGAAUCCAUAGGUUAAUGAGGCGAACCGGGGGAACUGAAACAUCUAAGUACCCCGAGGAAAAGAAAUCAACCGAGAUUCCCCCAGUAGCGGCGAGCGAACGGGGAGGAGCCCAGAGCCUGAAUCAGCAUGUGUGUUAGUGGAAGCGUCUGGAAAGGCGCGCGAUACAGGGUGACAGCCCCGUACACAAAAGCGCAUGUGCUGUGAGCUCGAUGAGUAGGGCGGGACACGUGGUAUCCUGUCUGAAUAUGGGGGGACCAUCCUCCAAGGCUAAAUACUCCUGACUGACCGAUAGUGAACCAGUACCGUGAGGGAAAGGCGAAAAGAACCCCGGCGAGGGGAGUGAAAAAGAACCUGAAACCGUGUACGUACAAGCAGUGGGAGCCCCACCACUAAGCCAGUGGUGAACUCCACAUACGCAUCCUUUGCUGAGGAUACGGUUAACGGAGCGCAAGCGACGUUCAACCUCAAAAGAAGCAGAGGGGGCUUAGUGGUGGGGUGACUGCGUACCUUUUGUAUAAUGGGUCAGCGACUUAUAUUCUGUAGCAAGGUUAACCGAAUAGGGGAGCCGGAGGGAAACCGAGUCUUAAUUGGGCGUUAAGUUGCAGGGUAUAGACCCGAAACCCGGUGAUCUAGCCAUGGGCAGGUUGAAGGUUGGGUAACACUAACUGGAGGACCGAACCGACUAAUGUUGAAAAAUUAGCGGAUGACCUGUGGCUGGGGGUGAAAGGCCAAUCAAACCGGGAGAUAGCUGGUUCUCCCCGAAAGCUAUUUAGGUAGCGCCUCGUGAAUUCAUCUCCGGGGGUAGAGCACUGUUUCGGCUAGGGGGCCAUCCCGGCUUACCAACCCGAUGCAAACUGCGAAUACCGGAGAAUGUUAUCACGGGAGACACACGGCGGGUGCUAACGUCCGUCGUGAAGAGGGAAACAACCCAGACCGCCAGCUAAGGUCCCAAAGUCAUGGUUAAGUGGGAAACGAUGUGGGAAGGCCCAGACAGCCAGGAUGUUGGCUUAGAAGCAGCCAUCAUUUAAAGAAAGCGUAAUAGCUCACUGGUCGAGUCGGCCUGCGCGGAAGAUGUAACGGGGCUAAACCAUGCACCGAAGCUGCGGCAGCGACGCUUAUGCGUUGUUGGGUAGGGGAGCGUUCUGUAAGCCUGUGAAGGUGUGUCGUGAGGCAUGCUGGAGGUAUCAGAAGUGCGAAUGCUGACAUAAGUAACGAUAAAGCGGGUGAAAAGCCCGCUCGCCGGAAGACCAAGGGUUCCUGUCCAACGUUAAUCGGGGCAGGGUGAGUCGACCCCUAAGGCGAGGCCGAAAGGCGUAGUCGAUGGGAAACGGGUUAAUAUUCCCGUACUUGGUGUUACUGCGAAGGGGGGACGGAGAAGGCUAUGUUGGCCGGGCGACGGUUGUCCCGGUUUAAGCGUGUAGGUGUGUGUUCCAGGUAAAUCCGGUUCACUUUAACACUGAGGCGUGACGACGAGGCACUACGGUGCUGAAGCAACAAAUGCCCUGCUUCCAGGAAAAGCCUCUAAGCAUCAGGUAACAUCAAAUCGUACCCCAAACCGACACAGGUGGUCAGGUAGAGAAUACCAAGGCGCUUGAGAAAACUCGGGUGAAGGAACUAGGCAAAAUGGUGCCGUAACUUCGGGAGAAGGCACGCUGACACGUAGGUGAAGUGAUUUACUCACGGAGCUGAAGUCAGUCGAAGAUACCAGCUGGCUGCAACUGUUUAUUAAAAACACAGCACUGUGCAAACACGAAAGUGGACGUAUACGGUGUGACGCCUGCCCGGUGCCGGAAGGUUAAUUGAUGGGGUCAGCGCAAGCGAAGCUCCUGAUCGAAGCCCCGGUAAACGGCGGCCGUAACUAUAACGGUCCUAAGGUAGCGAAAUUCCUUGUCGGGUAAGUUCCGACCUGCACGAAUGGCGUAAUGAUGGCCAGGCUGUCUCCACCCGAGACUCAGUGAAAUUGAACUCGCUGUGAAGAUGCAGUGUACCCGCGGCAAGACGGAAAGACCCCGUGAACCUUUACUAUAGCUUGACACUGAACAUUGAGCCUUGAUGUGUAGGAUAGGUGGGAGGCUUUGAAGCGUGGACGCCAGUCUGCGUGGAGCCGACCUUGAAAUACCACCCUUUAAUGUUUGAUGUUCUAACGUGGACCCGUAAUCCGGGUUGCGGACAGUGUCUGGUGGGUAGUUUGACUGGGGCGGUCUCCUCCUAAAGAGUAACGGAGGAGCACGAAGGUUGGCUAAUCCUGGUCGGACAUCAGGAGGUUAGUGCAAUGGCAUAAGCCAGCUUGACUGCGAGCGUGACGGCGCGAGCAGGUGCGAAAGCAGGUCAUAGUGAUCCGGUGGUUCUGAAUGGAAGGGCCAUCGCUCAACGGAUAAAAGGUACUCCGGGGAUAACAGGCUGAUACCGCCCAAGAGUUCAUAUCGACGGCGGUGUUUGGCACCUCGAUGUCGGCUCAUCACAUCCUGGGGCUGAAGUAGGUCCCAAGGGUAUGGCUGUUCGCCAUUUAAAGUGGUACGCGAGCUGGGUUUAGAACGUCGUGAGACAGUUCGGUCCCUAUCUGCCGUGGGCGCUGGAGAACUGAGGGGGGCUGCUCCUAGUACGAGAGGACCGGAGUGGACGCAUCACUGGUGUUCGGGUUGUCAUGCCAAUGGCACUGCCCGGUAGCUAAAUGCGGAAGAGAUAAGUGCUGAAAGCAUCUAAGCACGAAACUUGCCCCGAGAUGAGUUCUCCCUGAGACUUAAAGUCUCCUGAAGGAACGUUGAAGACGACGACGUUGAUAGGCCGGGUGUGUAAGCGCAGCGAUGCGUUGAGCUAACCGGUACUAAUGAACCGUGAGGCUUAACCUU